UACGGGGGGAGCAAGCGUUGUCCGGAAUUAUUGGGCGUAAAGAGCUCGUAGGCGGUUUGUCGCGUCUGCUGUGAAAACCCGAGGCUCAACCUCGGGCCUGCAGUGGGUACGGGCAGACUAGAGUGCGGUAGGGGAGAUUGGAAUUCCUGGUGUAGCGGUGGAAUGCGCAGAUAUCAGGAGGAACACCAAUGGCGAAGGCAGAUCUCUGGGCCGUAACUGACGCUGAGGAGCGAAAGCAUGGGGAGCGAACAGG
rnacentral:rRNA from 1 species